ACCUCUAGCAUUACUAGUAUUAGAGGCAAUGCCUGCCCAGUGACACCAGUUUAACGGCCGCGGUAUUCUGACCGUGCAAAGGUAGCAUAAUCACUUGUUCUCCAAAUAAGGACUUGUAUGAAUGGCCACACGAGGGUUUUACUGUCUCUUACUUCCAAUCAGUGAAAUUGACCUUCCCGUGAAGAGGCGGGAAUAAAAAAAUAAGACGAGAAGACCCUAUGGAGCUUUAAUUAACUACUCCAAAAGUUAAACAAUUCAACCACAAAGGGAUAAAACAUAACUUAACAUGGACUAGCAAUUUCGGUUGGGGUGACCUCGGAGUACAAAAAACCCUCCGAGUGAUUUUAAUCUAGACAAACCAGUCAAAAUAACCAUAACAUCACUUAUUGAUCCAAAAUUUUGAUCAACGGAACAAGUUACCCUAGGGAUAACAGCGCAAUCCUAUUCUAGAGUUCCUAUCGACAAUAGGGUUUACGACCUCGAUGUCGGAUCAGGACACCCAAAUGGUGCAACCGCCAUUAAA
rnacentral:rRNA from 1 species